CACGCCGUAAACGAUGGAUACUAGGUGUAGGUGGUAACAAGCCAUCUGUGCCGGAGCAAACGCAAUAAGUAUCCCACCUGGGGAGUACGGCCGCAAGGCUGAAACUCAAAGGAAUUGACGGGGGCCCGCACAAGCAGUGGAGUAUGUGGUUUAAUUCGAAGCAACGCGAAGAACCUUACCAGGGCUUGACAUCCCUCGAAUUACGUAGAAAUACGUAAGUCCUACGGGACGAGGAGACAGGUGG
rnacentral:rRNA from 1 species